rnacentral:rRNA from 1 species
GACGAACGCUGGCGGCGUGCUUAACACAUGCAAGUCGAACGGUAAGGCCCUUCGGGGUACACGAGUGGCGAACGGGUGAGUAACACGUGGGUGAUCUGCCCUGCACUUCGGGAUAAGCCUGGGAAACUGGGUCUAAUACCGGAUAGGACCACUGCCUGCAUGGGUGGUGGUGGAAAGCUUUUGCGGUGUGGGAUGGGCCCGCGGCCUAUCAGCUUGUUGGUGGGGUGAUGGCCUACCAAGGCGACGACGGGUAGCCGGCCUGAGAGGGUGACCGGCCACACUGGGACUGGGAUACGGCCCAGACUCCUACGGGAGGCAGCAGUGGGGAAUAUUGCACAAUGGGCGCAAGCCUGAUGCAGCGACGCCGCGUGAGGGAUGACGGCCUUCGGGUUGUAAACCUCUUUCAGCACCGACGAAGCGCAAGUGACGGUAGGUGCAGAAGAAGGACCGGCCAACUACGUGCCAGCAGCCGCCGUAA